CCGGAAGGGGAGUGAAAGAGAACUUGAAACCGUGUGCUUACAAGUAGUCAGAGCCCGUUAAUGGGUGAUGGCGUGCCUUUUGUAGAAUGAACCGGCGAGUUACGAUCUGAUGCAAGGUUAAGCAGCAAAUGUGGAGCCGCAGCGAAAGCGAGUCUGAAUAGGGCGUUGAGUAUUUGGUCGUAGACCCGAAACCAGGUGAUCUACCCUUGGUCAGGUUGAAGUUCAGGUAACACUGAAUGGAGGACCGAACCGACUUACGUUGAAAAGUGAGCGGAUGAACUGAGGGUAGCGGAGAAAUUCCAAUCGAACUUGGAGAUAGCUGGUUCUCUCCGAAAUAGCUUUAGGGCUAGCCUCAAGUGAUGAUUAUUGGAGGUAGAGCACUGUUUGGACGAGGGGCCCCUCUCGGGUUACCGAAUUCAGACAAACUCCGAAUGCCAAUUAAUUUAACUUGGGAGUCAGAACAUGGGUGAUAAGGUCCGUGUUCGAAAGGGAAACAGCCCAGACCACCAGCUAAGGUCCCAAAAUAUAUGUUAAGUGGAAAAGGAUGUGGCGUUGCCCAGACAACUAGGAUGUUGGCUUAGAAGCAGCCAUCAUUUAAAGAGUGCGUAAUAGCUCACUAGUCGAGUGACACUGCGCCGAAAAUGUACCGGGGCUAAACAUAUUACCGAAGCUGUGGAUUGUCCUUUGGACAAUGGUAGGAGAGCGUUCUAAGGGCGUCGAAGCAUGAUCGCAAGGACAUGUGGAGCGCUUAGAAGUGAGAAUGCCGGUGUGAGUAGCGAAAGACGGGUGAGAAUCCCGUCCACCGAUUGACUAAGGUUUCCAGAGGAAGGCUCGUCCGCUCUGGGUUAGUCGGGUCCUAAGCUGAGGCCGACAGGCGUAGGCGAUGGAUAACAGGUUGAUAUUCCUGUACCACCUAGUAUCGUUUUAAUCGAUGGGGGGACGCAGUAGGAUAGGCGAAGCGUGCUGUUGGAGUGCACGUCCAAGCAGUAAGGCUGAGUGUUAGGCAAAUCCGGCACUCAUAAGGCUGAGCUGUGAUGGGGAGAGGAAAUUGUUUCCUCGAGUCGUUGAUUUCACACUGCCGAGAAAAGCCUCUAGAUAGAUAACAGGUGC
rnacentral:rRNA from 1 species